AUUGAACGCUGGCGGCAGGCCUAACACAUGCAAGUCGAACGGUAACAGGAAGCAGCUUGCUGCUUUGCUGACGAGUGGCGGACGGGUGAGUAAUGUCUGGGAAACUGCCUGAUGGAGGGGGAUAACUACUGGAAACGGUAGCUAAUACCGCAUAACGUCGCAAGACCAAAGAGGGGGACCUUCGGGCCUCUUGCCAUCGGCUGUGCCCAGAUGGGAUUAGCUAGUAGGUGGGGUAACGGCUCACCUAGGCGACGAUCCCUAGCUGGUCUGAGAGGAUGACCAGCCACACUGGAACUGAGACACGGUCCAGACUCCUACGGGAGGCAGCAGUGGGGAAUAUUGCACAAUGGGCGAAAGCCUGAUGCAGCCAUGCCGCGUGUAUGAAGAAGGCCUUCGGGUUGUAAAGUACUUUCAGCGGGGAGGAAGGGAGUAAAGUUAAUACCUUUGCUCAUUGACGUUACCCGCAGAAGAAGCACCGGCUAACUCCGUG
rnacentral:rRNA from 1 species